rnacentral:rRNA from 1 species
AUACGUAGGGUGCAAGCGUUAAUCGGAAUUACUGGGCGUAAAGGGUGUGUAGGCGGAUGUAUGUGUCAGAUGUGAAAUACCUCGGCUUAACUGAGGCAUUGCGUUUGAAACUGUACAUCUUGAGCAUGUCAGGGGUAAGCGGAAUUCCCGGAGUAGCGGUGAAAUGCGUAGAUAUCGGGAAGAACACCGGUGGCGAAGGCGGAUUACGGGGGCAUAGCGGAGGCGGAGGAACGAAAGCGUGGGGGGCGAACGGGAUUAGAUCACCCGGUAGUCCACGCCGUAAACGAGGGAUACGAGAUGUCAGUUGCAUAAGAGCAGUUGGUAUCGAAGCCAACGCGAUAAGUAUCCCGCCUGGGGAGUACGGUCGCGAGAUUAAAACUCAAAUGAAUUGACGGGG